ACCGUCCAGGUAGACAGGCCGGCACUUCUCCUUCCAUGGGGCAGUAACCCUUCCCCUCUAGGUAACCUCGAACCGAAGAGAAACAUGGCAAGAGCAAGACAAGCCUGCUGCCGCCCAUGCAGAAGAACCCCAAGGGGCAGAAGAAAACGAAGCAAGAAGAGGAGGAGAAGGAGGAGGAGGAGAGGAAAGAAAUCAUCCUUUCUGGUGUCGACGACUUACUACUACCGGAAAAAAAGAUAAUUUCCGGUACCUUCCUUCGUCUUGGCUGAGAACGACGACCAGAAGCCACCAAAAGCAACACUGCGCGUCGUCCCAGAGCGGUGACUUCACGAUCCACGAUCCAUCUCUUUGUGGAGCAAAGCCAAGACCUGUCUGUAAGCCUGUAAAAUGCAAAUAAAUCAGAAAAAUGCAUUAUG